GCUGGGAUAGCCAAGCUUGGUCUAAGUGAUUAACGCGCAAGCGUUUUGCGGCUAACGGCGCAGGUUUGCUAAACCUGUGAGGCGCAAGCCUCACGAGGGUUCAAAUCCCUCUCCCAGCG
rnacentral:tRNA from 1 species